CCAAUAGCGUAUAUUAAAGUUGUUGCAGUUAAAAAGCUCGUAGUUGAAUUUCGGAAUCAAUGGAUCGGUCAUGCCAAUCGGUGUGUACUGGUUUGAUUGGUUCUCACCUUCUAAGGAACCGUGAUGUCAUUAAUUUGGUGUCGCGGGGAAUUAGGACUGUUACCUUGAAAAAAUUAGAGUGUUUAAAGCAAGCUCACGCUUGAAUACAUUAGCAUGGAAUAAUGAAAUAGGACAUUGUAUUCUAUUUUGUUGGUUUCUAGGAUCGAUGUAAUGAUUAAUAGGGAUAGUUGGGUGCAUUAGUAUUCAAUUGUCAGAGUUGGAAUUCUUGGAUUUAUUGAAGACUAACUACUGCGAAAGCAUUUGCCAAGGAUGUUUUCAUUAAUCAAGAACGAAGGUUAGGGGAUCGAAGACGAUCAGAUACCGUCGUAGUCUUAACCAUAAACUAUGCCGACUAGGGAUCGUAUGAUGUUAAUUUUAUAAUGACUCAUUCGGCACCUUACG
rnacentral:rRNA from 1 species